AUUGAACGCUGGCGGCAGGCUUAACACAUGCAAGUCGAGCGGGGUGAUGGUGCUUGCACUAUCACUUAGCGGCGGACGGGUGAGUAAUGCUUAGGAAUCUGCCUAUUAGUGGGGGACAACAUCUCGAAAGGGAUGCUAAUACCGCAUACGUCCUACGGGAGAAAGCAGGGGAUCACUUGUGACCUUGCGCUAAUAGAUGAGCCUAAGUCGGAUUAGCUAGUUGGUGGGGUAAAGGCCUACCAAGGCGACGAUCUGUAGCGGGUCUGAGAGGAUGAUGCGCCGAACUGGGACGGAGCCACGGCCCAGACUCCUGCGGGAGGCAGCAGGGGGGAAUAUUGGGCAAUGGGGGGAACCCUGAUCCAGCCAUGCCGGGGGUGUGAAGAAGGCCUUAUGGUUGUAAAGCACUUUAAGCGAGGAGGAGGCUCUUUUGGUUAAUACCCAAGAUGAGUGGACGUUACUCGCAGAAUAAGCACCGGCUAACUCUGUGCCAGCCGCCGCCGUAA
rnacentral:rRNA from 1 species